rnacentral:rRNA from 1 species
CGUAGGACGCAAGCGUUAUCCGGAAUUACUGGGCGUAAAGCGCGUGUAGGCGGUUUUAUAAGUCACUGUUGAAAGCUCCCGGCUAAACUGGGAGAGGUGCGGUGAGACUGUAGAGCUAGAGUUUGGGAGAGGGGUGCGGAAUUCCGGGUGUAGUGGUGAAAUGCGUAGAGAUCCGGAGGAACACCAGAGGCGAAGGCGGCACCCUGGCCUAAUACUGACACUGAGACGCGAAAGCAUGGGGAGCGAACGGGAUUAGAGACCCCGGUAGUCCAUGCCGUAAACGAUGCAAACUAGAUGUGUGCUGUCCUACGGGGUGGUGCGCGUCGCAGCUAACGCGAUAAGUUUGCCGCCUGGGGAGUACGGUCGCAAGGUUG